UCGUCAAAAUACACCACACCUACCCUGUUUGCCCUACUUUCUCUCUGCUACCUUGUUGUUCAUCACAUCUCAUGGCGACUUUGUCGGCAUUUCAGGUGACCUUGCCGACCCUAGGAAAACCUUCAGCGAGGCAGAUCGAUGCACAUCAGCACAUGCCAACACUAGAUAUUUUCAGCUAUGCUUCCCUUUCCUACGGUGGACGCUGCUGGGUAGUCAUGUAGCUCUGUCGCCGCCGGGGACCAGGAGAUGGAGAGAGCGAGCCUUCUGGGAUUCCAAGGAUAAGAAGAACCGUCAGGAUUCAAAGACUCAUUGUCCAUGUGGAUAAGAGCCGGCAGGAUAUUAUUUGUAGACCGUGCACUUCUGUACUUGCAAAAACGAGAAAAAUUCAACACUACUGGUGUUGACUGUGCACCAUAAUGCGACAAUGUGGCUUCUGUACCUUCUUUGUAUAUGGAAACAGCUGGGUAGAUGAAAGCAAUAUGGAGGGCUAUAUGCAUUACUGAGUAGGUGUGGUCCAUACAGGGAUCUAAAUCUCUAUGUAUACUCAUCCUGUCUAGAUGCAUUGCCACCCUACACAGCAAUUCGCGUGUGAACAUAUCCUUAGGCCUGGUUCAGGUCGCUAAAAAUUUUGGUCUUGACUACUGUA